GACGAACGCUGGCGGCGUGCUUAACACAUGCAAGUCGAACGGAAAGGCCCUGCUUUUGUUGGGUUCUCGUGUGGCGAACGGGUGAGUAACACGUGAGUAACCUGCCCUUGACUUUGUGAUAACUUCAGGAAACUGGGGCUAAUACCGGAUAGGAUCUCCUGCUGCAUGGUGGGGGUUGGAAAGUUUCGGCGGUUGGGGAUGGACUCGCGGCUUAUCAGCUUGUUUGUGGGGUAGUGGCUUACCAAGGCUUUGAAGGGUAGCCGGCCUGAGAGGGUGACCGGCCACAAUGGGACUGAGAUACGGACCAGACUCCUACGGGAGGCAGCAGUGGGGAAUAUUGCACAAUGGGCGGAAGCCUGAUGCAGCAACGCCGCGUGCGGGAUGACGGCCUUCGGGUUGUAAACCGCGUUCGCCUGUGACGAAGCGUGAGUGACGGUAAUGGGUAAAGAAGCACCGGCUAACUACGUG
rnacentral:rRNA from 1 species